GUGAGGAAUAUUGCGCAAUGGACGAAAGUCUGACGCAGCCAUGCCGCGUGAAGGAUUGACGGCCCUAUGGGUUGUAAACUUCUUUUGUAUAGGAAUAAACCCUCGUUCGUGAACGAGGCUGAAGGUACUAUAAGAAUAAGCACCGGCUAACUCCGUGCCAGCAGCCGCGGUAAUACGGAGGGUGCAAGCGUUAUCCGGAUUUAUUGGGUUUAAAGGGUCCGUAGGCGGAUCGUUAAGUCAGUGGUGAAAUCCUACCGCUCAACGGUAGAACUGCCAUUGAUACUGGCGAUCUUGAGUAUGUAUGAAGUUGGCGGAAUGUGUGGUGUAGCGGUGAAAUGCUUAGAUAUGGCACAGAACACCAAUUGCGAAGGCAGCUCACUAAGGCGAUACUGACGCUGAGGCACGAAAGCGUGGGGAUCGAACAGGAUUAGAAACCCCAGUAGUCC
rnacentral:rRNA from 1 species